UGUCUCAAGACUAAGCCAUGCAUGUGCAAGUAUAAACGCUUGAACCGUGAGACUGCGAAUGGCUCAUUAAAUCAGUUAUAGUUUAUUUGAUGGUGCUUACUACGUGGAUAACCGUGGUAAUUCUAGAGCUAAUACAUGCAAGAGGUCCCGACUUGUUGGAAGGGAUGUAUUUAUUAGAUCCAAAACCAAUGCGGGUUGCCGCUCCGGUGGUGCCCGGUACCUUGGUGAUUCAUAGUAACUGCUCGAAUCGUUUGGCCUCCGCGCCGGCGAUGGUUCAUUCAAGUUUCUGCCCUAUCAACUUUCGAUGGUAGGGUAUUGGCCUACCAUGGUUGCAACGGGUGACGGAGAAUUAGGGUUCGAUUCCGGAGAGGGAGCCUGAGAAACGGCUACCACAUCCAAGGAAGGCAGCAGGCGCGCAAAUUACCCAAUCCCGACUCGGGGAGGUAGUGACAAUAAAUAACAAUGCCGGUCCCUAUAGUGGUCCGGCAAUUGGAAUGAGUACAAUCCAAACCCCUUAACGAGGAACAAUUGGAGGGCAAGUCUGGUGCCAGCAGCCGCGGUAAUUCCAGCUCCAAUAGCGUAUAUUAAAGUUGUUGCAGUUAAAAAGCUCGUAGUUGGAUUUCGGGGCCCCAGACGUUCGUUGCGUUGCCUGUUGGACUUGUCUGGCGGGUGCGUGGCGGUCGUCGGUCUCUGAGUCGGAUCGGUCCGCCGAGAGGCGUGUACUGACCGACGGCCCCUGUUGUCUCUCGGGUUGCCCGCCUGCACUUAAUUGUUGCGGACGGGGAGUUCGGGACGUUUACUUUGAACAAAUUAGAGUGUUCCAAGCAGGCCGGUUGCUUUGAAUACAUUAGCAUGGAAUAAUGGAAUAGGGCUGCGUGACUCGUUGCUCUCGGGUGGCGGGUCCUCGUGUCCUAUUUUGUUGGUUUUCGGGACCGCAGUCAUGGUCAAGAGGGACAGUUGGGGGCAUUCGUAUUCAGUUGUCAGAGGUGAAAUUCUUGGAUUUACGGAAGACGAACAACUGCGAAAGCAUUUGCCAAGGAUGUUUUCAUUAAUCA
rnacentral:rRNA from 1 species